rnacentral:rRNA from 1 species
UACGGGGGGAGCAAGCGUUGUUCGGAUUUACUGGGCGUAAAGGGCGCGUAGGCGGUCAGCACAAGUCAGUUGUGAAAUCUCCGGGCUUAACUCGGAAAGGUCAACUGAUACUGUGCGACUAGAGUGCAGAAGGGGCAACUGGAAUUCUCGGUGUAGCGGUGAAAUGCGUAGAUAUCGGGAGGAACACCAGAGGCGUAAGCGGCUUUCUAGGCGAUUACUGACGCUGAGGCGCGAAAGCGUGGGGAGCAAACCGG